AAAACAAAAAGGAUCACUCAGGACAAGCUACGGAAACAGCAGAUGCACCGGGAGUCACUGGAGAGCUGAGACCUGGAUGGCUUCCUUUGAUAUUGAAGAGACUCUCAAAGAUGAAGACGUCAUCCUUACUAAAUCCGUUGACGUUCACUAUAGGAAUGUCUUGAGGACAUGAGUAGCUGAAAUUCCACAACCUUAGCAAGGACACAGGGACAGCAAACGCAUCACAUGGCCAGCAUCUGAGCUUCAGGCAGCUGCUGUGACUGACCUUUCCCUGAAGAAGAUCACAGAGACCAACAAAAAAGCUGGACCUCAACAGGUUCACUUCCCCUUGGCCAAGCAUUCAGAUUUCCUUUUGCUUAUAGAUUCCUCUGAACAUCUCUAUGUAAGCGACUUAUCCAGAGGAUUGUUGUCAUCUUCCUGGGCCACAACCCUGUGGCUUUAUGACUUUCUCUUCUGUAUACACUGUCUAUGUUUGAGUACGACCAAGCUGCAAAGACCAUAAUCAUGUUGACCAGGGUACACAGAACACACAUUUCUGGUUUGCAAGAUCUCCAGGGAUUUUGAUGAGCCAGUUGGAGGGAAGGGACAGAGUUUUGGAAAGAAUAAAGUGAAAAUAGCUAGGAAUACAAGUGUGGGUACCUAAAGGAACAAUCCUCGAAAUGGAAAGGAAGUUACUAAGCCAUUGGAAAGAUCAGUCGUGAAAUGAUAAGAGAAAUGAGAACCUGAGUUGAAUAGACAGGCUGAUUUUCCAGAUGCACCUCUGCCUUGGCAUUUUCUGUGAGCUUUGGAUCUUUAGGAUGGAAUAUUGGCCAUGUAGACUAGUUCACAUUCAGAACCUUAUUUUCUUCCUUCUCCUCUCUUCCUUGUCCCUCUGGUUUUUAAUCUCCUGGAACACCCCAGCCACUUAAAUGCAGCCAUUAUUUUACACUGAUCUUCAGUUAUGAAUAUAUUCUGAAAUAUGUUUAAUUAGAAAUAAGGGUCACUAGACCACCUCAAAAAGCCCUUGUGCCCACUUUGUUUCUUAUAUCAGUACCCUGACCUUCACUCUGAGCAUCUUAAAUGUACUGCUUUAUGAAGUGAUGCACCCCUAAAAAGUCUCAAAUAUUGACAUAAUUUCUGCAUUUGCAUCAGGUAGGUUAUGUUUUUCUGCUGGAAGAAAUGUUGGAUAGUCAGGGCUCAAACAGUGAAAGGGAAACCAAAAAAACCUUUUUUUCUAUUGAUAGAAACAAAACAAAGCCCAGAGUGAGGCAGUGUUGAGCUAGGGGAGCAGGGUGGUUUUGUCCAGGUGGAAGUUUAUUUCUCUUUCACAUAAACCCUAAGUGUUAACCCCUCAAGGAAGUUGUAGCAGCUGCAGAAUGAUCUAAAUCCCAGGGUAACUGGUUUGUUCUCCAGAGAUUGUGAAGGCUGAAUAUAAUCUAUUGCAAGAAAUGAGAUAGAGGAAGGGGGAAGGACUGGACCUGCAGACCACUUUUUAAGACACUGAAUAAAAUUUGUACAAUAUUGGAUUUUAUAGCUCAUGAUCAGAACUAAGUCUCACAACUAUACCUGGCUUUAAGGAAAUCUGAAAAAUAAUGUUUGUAUUUGAAGUAUACAUUUGGAAUAAAAUAUGGCUAGCAAUUUCUGUCACAAUAAAAUACCUUACUUUUUA